GAGACAAUCACCACCUCACCUCCGAAAAGGUCUCCAACAGGAUCAGGUACGGCAGGCCUACAGUAAAUCAUCUGUAUGAUCCCCUCCACCUGCCAGGUUCUCGGCCUGAGUAAAUGUUGGCAGAAAUGUCAAAUCCACUCUGUUCCUGGACUUGGCUUCCAGUGACACCCCC